CCCCCCCAGAGCACCGGAGUACAGGAGGGCUUCUGGAGCGAGAGCAGGACAGCCAGGCCUCCCGCGCUGCUGAUGGGGGGGACAGCUCCAGGCUCCUGACAAAGGACACCGGGGUGCUACAGCCACGGAUGGGAACAGAAGUGAUGGCGAUUCCCCCCCCCAAGCCUGGUUUCCCAGCAGAGCGGGGACGCACUGACAGCAGGCUGAGGUUCUCCGCCUUUGUGCAGGUGACUGCAGUGAGGAGGUUCAGGAGCAGCCGCAAAAAAAAUGGGGCCAUCCCAAGAACUGCUGGUGCCCCAGGCUCUGCUGGCUCCGGUGUCACCUCCCGCAGCAGCUCCAACCCCUCCUCGGGUCUCCCUGGAGAGCACCGAGCCCAAGUUCACGGCUGUGCCUGCCGUGCCCAGGCCAGACCAGCAAACCCAGCCCGCGAGAGGGUCCCGUCCCGGUAAGCAGGGAACACCUCGACAUUUUGCUCCAACUCCAGGAGGCUCAGGUGGGGCUCCCCCCACGGGAGGGCUGGUGCAUCCUACACACUUCCCAAAGGAAGUGACUAAGCUGCUCCUUCCCCAGCCAGCCCAGCUGCUCACACCGUGCUCUACCCCCCCCCCCCAGCCCCUGCCUCGUCCAUACGCAUCAUCCACAGUGGUGCCCCUGCUCCGGGAGUAGGGCCAAGCUACCUGAUAGAUGGGAAUCACGGAAAAAAGUUCCAUCAGGGGUUUAGGAAAGAUUCGUUUUACCAGGUGACAGGCAAUGGCUGCAAUCCCCAUUAGCCUCAGCCCCUACAUUCUUCAAAUAGCCAUGGCAGGUUCUGCUGUUUUAUAAAACAAACAAGGGACAAGGUGCUACAGGAAUCUUUUAACCUUCCUUAUGCAUAUGCAUGUAAAUAAGCCUCACAGCAACAGCAGAGUCAGGAAAUAAACUGGCGAUUGGCUUGGUUCUAUAAAUACACCUGUGAGCAAGAGGUGUUACAGCAAGAACUGUCAGUGCAGAAGCAAACGUGUAACUCAUUUUAUGAGCACAACUCUUGCUCAACUACGCACACACACGCAGGUAAUCAGUGUACAAUUAGGGAGUUCUAAAUAUCUAGGGCAUGGCUUGGCUGUAGAAAAAUGAACUAACUCAGGUGACCGAUUCAAAUCAAAUAGGAAACCUUAAGUAACUCGAUAUUGUAGGUAUAGUUUAUUUUUUUUUCCCCCAAUUCGCUUCUCACCAAUUUUAGUUUGGGGGCGGUUUUGCUCACCAGGAUAUAGUGUAACCAAGCACAUUCUGGAACUGUGUAUCUUGGGUUUUGGGGAUUUUCUUUUUCCUACCCAGAACAAUAAACGACAGGUCCUGUUUAGGCUCUUUCCCCCCUGUUUGUACCAAGGUGAGCAGCAGAUGGAAACAAGCAGGCAGGCAGCUCCCAUACAGCCGAGAGCAGACCCCCACGCUUUCCCUUGUACUUACUCAAACGAGCUGCUGCACAGCUCCGUGGCAGGGGAGCCUGGGUGCUGUGGGUGGUGGCUACCUGGCCCGGAUUGACAUCAACCACCCCGGUUUAUCAAGUCCUGGGAACUCCAGGUGCUGAGGCUUUUGUUAGAGCGAAGAACACAGCUCUGGUCAAUCGUCCCUCCACGUGAAUGACACUGACACACGACAGAAGUCGGAAAAUCUCCGCUACGAGGAGCCACGAUGCCCCGGCUCCCAUCAACACCCUUCCACCACCAAGUAGAUGGCAGCUGAAGAGGAAAAAAAAUCACUUUUAAAUAGCAAACACACACAAACCAGCGCUACUGGGGAAGGGCCCCGGGUGUGGGCAAGUAGCAGAACGCUGGUCUACCGUGUUGAGUAAGCGCUUCCCUAUACUAAACAGAAAUUUUUUUUUUUUUUUAACUGUGUCCAGUACUCAUGGUCAGACUUUAAACUAGUUCUGUAGCAAAGAAUUCACUCGAGACAAAUAUGGACACCAACCCAGUGCCAGCCGAGUGGCACAGCCCCAGCCCCGGGCGGGCAGGAUCCCGACGGCACCAGGGAGGAAUCCACACCGUGCCAAAGCUGACCCUCUAGUGCAAGAGGUUUACAAGUACCAUCAGCGCAAUAAAUCUGAAAAAUAGGUUUUAUUUUUAACCAGUGGUAUUGUGACAUCUUAUCUGGCAUAACCAAUUACAGCAAAAUUCAUGGCUAGGAACAAAAUAGCAGAUCUCUCCUCCGAAGGGCGGCCGGCUCAGCCCGCAGGCAGCUGAGCGGCGCCCAGGGCAGGCAGGGAGCGCGCGGGACAUCCCCACUCACACACACGCACAGACACGCACACACAACAGCUAUACUCUUAAAAAUCUUUAGCAAUAUUUCCGCAUGAAAUCACACUGUAGCAUCUACACAAUAAAAUGGCUGAUAAAAAUAAUCUUGCUGUAGGUUUACACAGUAUAUCUACAUUUUCAUUUGAAUACCUGGACUGCUGGUCCAGCAGAAAAGGGAGGUUUUCUGUCUUGAUUUUGUUGGGCUGAGGAGAAUUUUGUCCCAGAGCAUGAAAUAACUGCUCUCUUCAUCUCACCCCAGACCUUUAUUAAGUGUUUGACCUGAAGAGAUCACUGAAAAGAAGCCUAGGAAGAAUCAAUGGCUUUGUCAUCCGUGUCACAUCCCUUUGUGCUGCCUCUUCAAACACGGGGUAAAAGCACUACAAACAGUUCCUCUCUGUCCCGUAGGUAACAAGAACACAAAAUACUGCAGAAGCCUUUCUCCUCACAUAUACACAGGUACAUUGUCCUUACAGGAUGCCUGCAACAAAUAAAUGUCUAAAGAUAUCUCUUCCCCACAUCCUAAAAUUGGGCUCCUGAGCUCCCUGGGUACAGUUCUAGCACACAAACACGCUGAGAAACCCCCUCCUGCCAGUCUCUAACUCUGGGCAUUUAAUUCACACAGAGUCCUGUGGAAUAAUACAGAAUAUCUGAACCAUGUUUGUCCCUUUUCAUGUUUCCUCAGGCAGAGAUCAACCUGCUACAAAACAGCGAAGCAGCUCUUAUCUGAGAGGCUAAAAAAACCUCUAGUAAGUGUUAGUUUUUUAUAUAUAUAUAUAUAUAUAAAUAUUUAUAUUUAUAGAUAUAGACAGUGAAAGGGAGAUUGUGGUUUUAUGCAUGCUUACUUCUUUGCUUUGGAUUCCAAUACUUCUAGAAAAAUUUUUUUCAGGAAAUAACUUAAGUUCUGGCACAAGAUGCCAUAGUUGUUUCUUUGAAGAACAUUUUUUACAUUUGAUCUCACAAGAAACCCUCUGUCCCAAGCUCUCCGUCUCUGGAACCAGAAGAUCAGAACACAAAGAAAAAGGUGCACUUUUCUAUGCCGUCUAUUUUAUCCCUUCCUCAUCAAAGCCUCCAGAACGGCAGGUAUUUCACCAUGAGCUGCAGCACAAGAGGAAGGAUGCUGUGAUUUCACGGCACUGGCUGAGGUACUCGGUAAAACAGUUCACUGACGAUUUAACUGCCCCAGUGCCAUCCCCGAAAAAGUAACAACACAAAUCAAGCAGCUCUACAUGCACAUACAGCUACGACAUGCAAAAAACACCCCACCUUUUAAGGAACAAAAUGCACAAAACGGGUGGCUAGCAAGAACCUUCUCCAGCCUCUGUUCUCCUGGGAGCUAAUGCUGGGAAGCCUCAGGACGAGAGGAGGGGAAGAGGGAAAAAAUACAGAAA